rnacentral:rRNA from 1 species
CUACGUGCCAGCAGCCGCGGUAAUACGGAAGGUCCAGGCGUUAUCCGGAUUUAUUGGGUUUAAAGGGAGCGUAGGCUGGAGAUUAAGUGUGUUGUGAAAUGUAGGCGCCCAACGUCUGACUUGCAGCGCAUACUGGUUCCCUUGAGUACGCGCAACGCCGGCGGAAUUCGUCGUGUAGCGGUGAAAUGCUUAGAUAUGACGAAGAACCCCGAUUGCGAAGGCAGCCGGCGGGAGCGCAACUGACGCUGAAGCUCGAAGGUGCGGGUAUCGAACAGGAUUAGAUACCCUGGUAGUCCGCACGGUAAACGAUGGAUGCCCGCUGUCGGCGCCUUGCGCCGGCGGCCAAGCGAAAGCGUUAAGCAUCCCACCUGGGGAGUACGCCGGCAACGGUGAAACUCAAAGGAAUUGACGGGGGCCCGCACAAGCGGAGGAACAUGUGGUUUAAUUCGAUGAUACGCGAGGAACCUUACCCGGGCUUGA